rnacentral:rRNA from 1 species
AUGAACGCUGGCGGCGUGCUUAAUACAUGCAAGUCGAACGGAGACAUUAGCAAUAAUGUUUUAGUGGCGAACGGGUGAGUAACGCGUUGGUGACCUGCCCCGAAGAGAGGGAUAACAUUUCGAAAGGAUUGCUAAUACCCCAUGUGGUUGUUGUGAUUAGAUGCCUUACAACUAAACGGAUUUAUUCGCUUCGGGAGGGGCCUGCGUACCAUCAGCUAGUUGGUAGGGUAAUGGCCUACCAAGGCUAUGACGGUUAGGGGACCUGAGAGGGUGGCCCCCCACAAUGGAACUGAAACACGGUCCAUACACCUACGGGUGGCAGCAGUAGGGAAUAUUAGAAAUGGGCGAAAGUCUGAUCUAGCAACACCGCGUGUGCGAAGAAGGCCUUCGGGUCGUAAAGCACUUUUUGGAAGGAAUAGGAAGGAAUGUACUUCCAGAAUAAGUCUCGGCUAACUACGU